UACAGAGGUCUCAAGCGUUGUUCGGAUUCAUUGGGCGUAAAGGGUGCGUAGGCGGCGCGGUAAGUCGGGUGUGAAAUCUUGGAGCUUAACUCCGAAACUGCAUUCGAUACUGCCGUGCUUGAGGACUGGAGAGGAGACUGGAAUUUACGGCGUAGCGGUGAAAUGCGUAGAUAUCGUAAGGAAGACCAGUGGCGAAGGCGGGUCUCUGGACAGUUCCUGACGCUGAAGCACGAAGGCCAGGGGAGCAAACGGG
rnacentral:rRNA from 1 species